UCCUGCUGCCUGGAGGCAGAUUGCCAUCUUUGUCCAGGCUCCUGUCCUGUGCAUCCUAAUAAUUAGGAACACAGACUCUGAAGCCAGCCUACCUGGUUCAAAUCCCAGCUCUGCCACUUAACUGGUUGACUCUUUGGGUAAGUCACUUAACUUCUCUGUACCUCAGCUUCCUCAUCUAUAAAAUGGAGAUUAUAACAGUAUCCACCACACAGGGUUGGGAAGAUGAAGGGACUUCAAAUAAAGUUUUAAGAGCAGUGCCUGGUGCAUAGUGUUAGCUGCUAUUAUUAUUGUUACUUGGCAUCUUCCCUUCUCUCUGUCUGCUUUGUCUAAAUUUUACAAUCUUUUCCCUUCUCCACAGAAAUCCAUAUUCUCUUGUCUCCCAUGAGUAAUGAACCACUUCUUUCUCCCUCGCCACAGCCAUCUAGUGAGCCCUUCCUCACCAUCCCAUUUCUGGGAUGCCUCAGUGGAUGACAAAUAUUUGUCACCUCCAUGUCCUCACCAAACCUUAAGCAGCAGCAGAGCAUGGGCCUGGGAGGCGGGUGUUUCUGUGGCAGGAAUGGGAGGAAGGCUUCUGCCAGGAAGGCUCUCCCGUAUCCCCAUUCCCACCCAUCACAAUGGCCUAAGAGGCCCCACACCUGCCUCUCCAGCCUCAUCAUCUCUUACCCUCCCAACUCUCUCCAGCCACACUGGCCCUCCUGCUGUUCCUCCUGUCAAGCUUGUUUCUGU
rnacentral:lncRNA from 10 species